rnacentral:lncRNA from 1 species
CGCCCACCCCGCUCCGUCCCCGCCCUUUUUUCCCGCCAGGACCGUACCACGCCGCGCGGCCGGGGGGAGCAACCCGAUCCCCCCUCCCCUCUCGCGCGUUGGUGGGAGGCGCCGGCCGAGGCUAUAAAGGGGCGGGCUGGCGCGCGCGGCGCGCAGUGCGGGCGCCACGUGGAGCGGACGCGGAACGGCCGGCGCCGCCAUGGCCUCCAACGAUUACAGCCAGACGGCCACCCAAAGGUACGAACCCCCCUCCCCCCAUUUUUUAACCCUUUCCCCGCCCUGAAAUUCUCCCAUUUGGGAAUUCUUGUCCCAAAUUUGUUGUUUUUUCCCCUCAGUUACGGCGCCUACCCCGCCCCCCCCAGCCAGAGCUACUCGCAGGGGGGGGGGCAGAGCUACGGCCAGCAGAGCUACGGCGGCUACGGGCAGGGCUCGGACAGCGGCUACGGCCAGGGCGGGUACGGCUCCUCCUACGGGCAGAGCCAGAGCGGUGAGUGAGGGCAAAAAUAUAAAAAAUGUAAAUUAAUUCACGAAAAUGCCAAAAAUCCCCGUGUUUGUAUCAUGUUGUAUUCAAAUGUGAGCCCCAAAGUGCCCCAAGGACCCGGGGUACGGCCAGGGCGGGUACGGCUCCUCCUACGGG